rnacentral:rRNA from 1 species
AGAGUUUGAUCCUGGCUCAGGACAAACGCUGGCGGCGUGCGUAACACAUGCAAGUCGGACGAGGGGGAGGAUUUCUUUCGGGAGGUUCUUUCUUGAGUGGCGGACGGGUGCGUAACACGUGGAUAACCUGCCCUGGUGUGGGGGAUACCCUGUAGAAAUACGGGCUAAUACCGCAUACGGUCGAGAUCGGGGAGCCGGUC